CCAUGCGAAAAAACUUAUCUCCACACGCGAGGUAUGUGGUUGCGGCUUUAGGCGGAGACUUUCAAUUGACAUUUUGAUAUGCCUUUGCGCACCACACUUUUUUCCAUUUCCUGAAUGGCAAAAAAUGUCAUUCUGAAAAUUCUAACACGAGGCCGUAGUAAGAGGUUCCUGCAAAUGCGGAAAUGACUCAUUAUGAGAGUCAAAUAAUGAGCAGUCUGGGCUGCACUUAUUUUUGCUAUUGGAUAAAAUACCCAUAAGCCGCCCAACGGAGCCACACCAGCCGCUGGAUUGAGCACCCAGUGAGCCAUAUGCGCCACUGGCUAAAGCAACCAUUGGGUUACAAUGGCCACUGGCCUGCUAUUUCAUUUCAUGUGUAUUUUUGUUUUUCGAGCCCUUAUUGAGAGCUGCACAGUAUAAAAACCAUUAAAGGGUUGCGAAGAAAAAAAAAACUGGCGUACAACGGACAAGUUAUUUAAAAUGACGAUGGGUGGAGGUCCUUUGGAUGAACAUUAGCCUCCGUUAUAAGUACACCUUUUUUGACAUACUCUGGAGCUUCCAGCCUCACUGGUGACGGUUUUCGACGUGUAAACCAGACCCGAUUUUUUCUCUUAAGUACAUUAUCGAUGUAUUUUACACAUUCAACAAAAAUCAAUACGUAUUCGAAGGUAGUGACAUCCUCGUCUCGCAUUAAAGAAGCUAUGUGGGCCAUGGAAUAUGGUGUUUGCCACGGUCUUUUUUUGGUAAGUGAUGGAAGUACUGAGUUUUCUAUCUAUAUCUGUAUGUGACUACUUGACGUACCGCUUAUUAGUAGCAAGGAGAUUAACAAAGAUUCUGCUGAGACAUCUUAAUGUAUACCGGUGUCGGCAACUGAUCGACCGGAUUACAUGCAAAAAACACGCGGGGUUAAGCGCAAGCAUUCAUAUCUAACUCAUUCCAUUUUACCCAAGAAUUAGAGCUCAAAUUGCUAACAAACGCCGAGUGAUGAUUCGUCUCGGCCACUUCAUUUGCCAUUUGGGCCUGGCAGCGAGGUCAUUGCGCAUGAAAUUAUGCGGAUGAUUGCGUCUCGGACCCAGAAUUGUUUAUAGGGUAUUAUGGUUAAGAUCGGCGAACUAAAACCAAUGUGGAGUAUAACCAUCAAAUUAAUCAAUAUGCCUGUUUAUGUAGCAAAUACAUAAAUUGUACUAAUAAAUUAAAAACUUGUUGGUGUUCAUGUAACCCAAAGGACUUGCAAAGUUUGGGAGUUGAGAGGGAAACUUGGAGAAGAAGUUGUAAAUAUUUUACGGGACAAAUUUUAGCUUGCAACAAUUCGCUAAUACGAAGCACAGCUAAUCAUAUGUUGCAAGGGACAAUUGAAAAAAUAUUGGGGAAUUUACAUGAGGCGAUUUCACAGGCAACUUUUAGUUGAAUCAAAAGGUUGAACGAUAGUUGGCAGCUGACCCACUUCAUUGGCAGUGAUUAGUUGAAAGGUCAUUUACACCAGGGAACUGUUGCAUUCAACCAAUCGCCUGUGAAAGUAGAAUCAUGUUAAUUCCCUAAAACAAGAAAACUGUUUUAUUAGGAAUUUGCUACGAAUAAUCAAAAAUUUAUCAGCUGAUCAUAAAAAUUCCAGAUUGUUAUUGGUGUUGCGUUCACGUACUUUUUGAUAUUUGUCCUUUUGCGCGAAUAACCAGAAAUGAAGUAACAGAGAAGU